rnacentral:rRNA from 1 species
UACGUAGGGUGCAAGCGUUAAUCGGAAUUACUGGGCGUAAAGCGUGCGCAGGCGGUUAUGUAAGACCGAUGUGAAAUCCCCGGGCUUAACCUGGGAACUGCAUUGGUGACUGCAUUGCUGGAGUAUGGCAGAGGGGGGUGGAAUUCCACGUGUAGCAGUGAAAUGCGUAGAGAUGUGGAGGAACACCGAUGGCGAAGGCAGCCCCCUGGGCCAAUACUGACGCUCAUGCACGAAAGCGUGGGGAGCAAACAGG